AAAAACUGCUUCCCAUACAAUCACUGAAGUUAAGCAAUAUCAAGCCUGGUCAGUAGUUAGAUGGGUGACCACUUGGGAAUGCCAGUUGCCGUAUG